rnacentral:tRNA from 1 species
GUGGUUGUGGCUCAGUGGCAGAGCGCUUGCCUAGCAUGCAAGAGGCACUGGGUUCAAUCCUCAAUGCCACA